AACCGCAUGGUUCUUGGCUGAAAGAUGGCGUAAGCUAUCGCUUUUGGAUGGACCCGCGGCGUAUUAGCUAGUUGGUGAGGUAACGGCUCACCAAGGCGAUGAUACGUAGCCGAACUGAGAGGUUGAUCGGCCACAUUGGGACUGAGACACGGCCCAAACUCCUACGGGAGGCAGCAGUAGGGAAUCUUCCACAAUGGACGCAAGUCUGAUGGAGCAACGCCGCGUGAGUGAAGAAGGCUUUCGGGUCUUAAAACUCUGUUGUUGGAGAAGAAUGGUCGGCAGAGUAACUGUUGUCGGCGUGACGGUAUCCAACCAGAAAGCCACGGCUAACUACGUGCCAGCAGCCGCGGUAAUACGUAGGUGGCAAGCGUUAUCCGGAUUUAUUGGGCGUAAAGCGAGCGCAGGCGGUUUUUUAAGUCUGAUGUGAAAGCCCUCGGCUUAACCGAGGAAGCGCAUCGGAAACUGGGAAACUUGAGUGCAGAAGAGGACAGUGGAACUCCAUGUGUAGCGG
rnacentral:rRNA from 1 species